UACGUAGGGGGCUAGCGUUGUCCGGAAUUAUUGGGCGUAAAGAGCUCGUAGGCGGCCUGUUGCGUCCGCUGUGAAAGCCCGGGGCUUAACCCCGGGUCGGCAGUGGAUACGGGCAGGCUAGAGUUCGGUAGGGGAGAUCGGAAUUCCUGGUGUAGCGGUGGAAAUGACGCAGAUAUCAGGAGGAACACCGGUGGCGAAGGCGGAUCUCUGGGCCGAUACUGACGCUGAGGAGCGAAAGCGUGGGGAGCGAACAGG
rnacentral:rRNA from 1 species